UGGCAUCGGAUGAGUAAAUUUGUCAGUUCAUGGAUGAAAAUGAUUUCUUCUAAGUUGAAGGUGUGGAAUUUUAGGGGUCAUUCAAUGCACGUCCCAGUCAAUUCACAUUCAAUUGAACCUCUCAACUCUCUCUCUGAAUCUUUCCACUCCUUGCAAAAUCGCUCACAUAUCUCAACUCCUACCAAAUUUGACAAACUGUAGUUGCAAAUCUUCAUUUUUUUUCCAUCACCGAGUCAAAAACUAAUCAUGAAAUUCAGAACCGAAGUUCCAUCUCUACCCAGAAGUUCCGGCGUUGUUUUUAAUCUAAAUUUCAAUUUCAGUUUGUUUUGAAGUGGCUAAAAGACUCAACAUUUUGAAACCUCCGACGACUGACGGCGUUGAAACGUCUGCAAAUGAGAAAUGGUCAGUACCUGAUUGAUUCUCAAGCUACUCCAACCAUGCUCAACUGCCUCAUGUAAAAACUUUCAUAUUUUAGGUUUGUAGAGACAGAAGGGAGACAGGGUUAGGAACACUGAAAUUGGGUAAAAGCAUUUCAAACUCACUCAAUUUGAAGAGUAUGUAGGUCUACACCACUCAUCACUGGAUGGUCCGGAUAUACAAAUUGAAGUCCCCCAUGGGAAAACCAAGAAAUCCAAAUCGAAAUCUGGCACUCCGACUAGCUCGAAAAGAAGUGGAGCAAGAAAGAAGAAUCCAUGGCAGUAAGUACCCUUGCUCAUGAUACAUUAGGAUAAAGGGUCUGACGACUUUGAUGUUCCAUAUAGAGAAAAGAGAAAAUGAUUAAUUGAAGAUAUUGUGGUAUUCUACUUGUGAUAUUUGUAGGCCCCUUGAUCAAUUGAGCAAUGUUUAGAAUAAUUUUUUAUUGGCAACCUUAGCGAAUGAGGUGGUUGACAAAAAACAUGUAAUGAUAAUAUAACUGAUUUAGAUCUGGGCCUCUGUUUUUGGUGCUA